UUCUCCAUACAGUGGUAGAGCGAGCGUCCGACCAGUGUGCGGAAGGUCAUAGGUUCGACUCCUGUUGGGAGAAU